AGCUUGAGUUUUUCUUUAUCAAUGCAUAAAUCUUUCGUCUUUUGCUAAAGAUUUCCAUGGAGGGGAACCUUUGCAAGUGACCUGUAUUUUUGGGGGCUAUGCUCACAGCAGAACU